UACGUAGGGUGCAAGCGUUAAUCGGAAUUACUGGGCGUAAAGCGUGCGCAGGCGGUUAUGUAAGACAGAUGUGAAAUGCCCGGGCUUAACCUGGGAACUGCAUUUGUGACUGCAUGGCUAGAGUUUGGCAGAGGGGGUAGAAUUCCACGUGUAGCAGUGAAAUGCGUAGAUAUGUGGAGGAACACCGAUGGCGAAGGCAGCCCCCCUGGGUCAAGACUGACGCUCAUGCACGAAAGCGUGGGGAGCAAACAGG
rnacentral:rRNA from 1 species